GUUAUAUGGUCAAGUGAAGAAGCGCAUACGGUGGAUGCCUUGGCAGUCAGAGGCGAUGAAAGACGUGGUAGCCUGCGAAAAGCUUCGGGGAGUCGGCAAACAGACUUUGAUCCGGAGAUGUCUGAAUGGGGGAACCCAGCCAUCAUAAGAUGGUUAUCUUACGCUGAAUACAUAGGCGUAAGAGGCGAACCAGGGGAACUGAAACAUCUAAGUACCCUGAGGAAAAGAAAUCAACCGAGAUUCCCUUAGUAGUGGCGAGCGAACGGGGACUAGCCCUUAAGUGGCUUUGAGAUUAGCGGAACGCUCUGGAAAGUGCGGCCAUAGUGGGUGAUAGCCCUGUACGCGAAAAUCUCUUAGUCAUGAAAUCGAGUAGGACGGAGCACGAGAAACUUUGUCUGAAUAUGGGGGGACCAUCCUCCAAGGCUAAAUACUACUGACUGACCGAUAGUGAACUAGUACCGUGAGGGAAAGGCGAAAAGAACCCCGGAGAGGGGAGUGAAAUAGAUCCUGAAACCGUAUGCGUACAAGCAGUGGGAGCCCACUUUGUUGGGUGACUGCGUACCUUUUGUAUAAUGGGUCAGCGACUUAUUUUCAGUGGCGAGCUUAACCGAAUAGGGGAGGCGUAGCGAAAGCGAGUCUUAAUAGGGCGUCUAGUCGCUGGGAAUAGACCCGAAACCGGGCGAUCUAUCCAUGGGCAGGUUGAAGGUUGGGUAACACUAACUGGAGGACCGAACCGACUACCGUUGAAAAGUUAGCGGAUGACCUGUGGAUCGGAGUGAAAGGCUAAUCAAGCUCGGAGAUAGCUGGUUCUCCUCGAAAGCUAUUUAGGUAGCGCCUCAUGUAUCACUGUAGGGGGUAGAGCACUGUUUCGGCUAGGGGGUCAUCCCGACUUACCAAACCGAUGCAAACUCCGAAUACCUACAAGUGCCGAGCAUGGGAGACACACGGCGGGUGCUAACGUCCGUCGUGAAAAGGGAAACAACCCAGACCGUCAGCUAAGGUCCCAAAGUUAUGGUUAAGUGGGAAACGAUGUGGGAAGGCUUAGACAGCUAGGAGGUUGGCUUAGAAGCAGCCACCCUUUAAAGAAAGCGUAAUAGCUCACUAGUCGAGUCGGCCUGCGCGGAAGAUGUAACGGGGCUCAAACCAUACACCGAAGCUACGGGUAUCACGUAAGUGAUGCGGUAGAGGAGCGUUCUGUAAGCCUGUGAAGGUGAGUUGAGAAGCUUGCUGGAGGUAUCAGAAGUGCGAAUGCUGACAUGAGUAACGACAAUGGGUGUGAAAAACACCCACGCCGAAAGACCAAGGUUUCCUGCGCAACGUUAAUCGACGCAGGGUUAGUCGGUCCCUAAGGCGAGGCUGAAAAGCGUAGUCGAUGGAAAACAGGUUAAUAUUCCUGUACUUCUGGUUAUUGCGAUGGAGGGACGGAGAAGGCUAGGCCAGCUUGGCGUUGGUUGUCCAAGUUUAAGGUGGUAGGCUGGAAUCUUAGGUAAAUCCGGGAUUCUAAGGCCGAGAGCUGAUGACGAGUCAUCUUUUAGAUGACGAAGUGGUUGAUGCCAUGCUUCCAAGAAAAGCUUCUAAGCUUCAGGUAACCAGGAACCGUACCCCAAACCGACACAGGUGGUUGGGUAGAGAAUACCAAGGCGCUUGAGAGAACUCGGGUGAAGGAACUAGGCAAAAUGGCACCGUAACUUCGGGAGAAGGUGCGCCGGUGAGGGUGAAGGACUUGCUCCGUAAGCUCAUGCCGGUCGAAGAUACCAGGCCGCUGCGACUGUUUAUUAAAAACACAGCACUCUGCAAACACGAAAGUGGACGUAUAGGGUGUGACGCCUGCCCGGUGCCGGAAGGUUAAUUGAUGGGGUUAGCUAACGCGAAGCUCUUGAUCGAAGCCCCGUAAACGGCGGCCGUAACUAUAACGGUCCUAAGGUAGCGAAAUUCCUUGUCGGGUAAGUUCCGACCUGCACGAAUGGCGUAACGAUGGCGGCGCUGUCUCCACCCGAGACUCAGUGAAAUUGAAAUCGCUGUGAAGAUGCAGUGUAUCCGCGGCUAGACGGAAAGACCCCGUGAACCUUUACUAUAGCUUUGCACUGGACUUUGAAUUUGCUUGUGUAGGAUAGGUGGGAGGCUUUGAAGCGUGGACGCCAGUCUGCGUGGAGCCAACCUUGAAAUACCACCCUGGCAACUUUGAGGUUCUAACUCAGGUCCGUUAUCCGGAUCGAGGACAGUGUAUGGUGGGUAGUUUGACUGGGGCGGUCUCCUCCUAAAGAGUAACGGAGGAGUACGAAGGUGCGCUCAGACCGGUCGGAAAUCGGUCGUAGAGUAUAAAGGCAAAAGCGCGCUUGACUGCGAGACAGACACGUCGAGCAGGUACGAAAGUAGGUCUUAGUGAUCCGGUGGUUCUGUAUGGAAGGGCCAUCGCUCAACGGAUAAAAGGUACUCCGGGGAUAACAGGCUGAUACCGCCCAAGAGUUCAUAUCGACGGCGGUGUUUGGCACCUCGAUGUCGGCUCAUCACAUCCUGGGGCUGAAGCCGGUCCCAAGGGUAUGGCUGUUCGCCAUUUAAAGUGGUACGCGAGCUGGGUUUAGAACGUCGUGAGACAGUUCGGUCCCUAUCUGCCGUGGACGUUUGAGAUUUGAGAGGGGCUGCUCCUAGUACGAGAGGACCGGAGUGGACGAACCUCUGGUGUUCCGGUUGUCACGCCAGUGGCAUUGCCGGGUAGCUAUGUUCGGAAUAGAUAACCGCUGAAAGCAUCUAAGCGGGAAACUAGCCUCAAGAUGAGAUCUCACUGGAACCUUGAGUUCCCUGAAGGGCCGUCGAAGACUACGACGUUGAUAGGUUGGGUGUGUAAGCGCUGUGAGGCGUUGAGCUAACCAAUACUAAUUGCCCGUGAGGCUUGACCAUAUAACACCCAAGCAAUU
rnacentral:rRNA from 1 species